AUGCAAGAGAUCGUGUGUGCUUGUGCGGGCAAACCAAUCAGGGAAAACAGCCGCUCGUCUAGGUGUGGCUGCAACGCCAUGAUAAGGCUGUUGCGGUCAAAUGACAAAGGGUGGUAUAUUGCAGAACACAAAGAUGCCCAUAAUCACCCGAUGUCUUUGACGUGUGGGCAGAAGCUGCACUGGAAGUCUCAUAGACAUAUAGAUAGAUACACCAAGGAUCUAGUGAAACAGUUGAGAGACAAUAAUGUGGGGCUUGGAAAGGUGUUCAGUAUCGUUGGUAGUUUUUUCGGUUCAGUAGAUAAUGUGCCAUUUACGAAGAGGUCGUUGAAGACACUCUGUAGGAAACUAAAUAGAGUGUCUUCAACGACCUCUUCGGUUCAGUAG
rnacentral:rRNA from 1 species